rnacentral:rRNA from 1 species
AGUGGCGAACGGGUGAGUAACACGUGGGCAACCUGCCCAAAANAGGGGGAUAACACUUGGAAACAGGUGCUAAUACCGCAUAACCAUAGUUACCGCAUGGUAACUAUGUAAAAGGUGGCUAUGCUACCGCUUUUGGAUGGGCCCGCGGCGCAUUAGCUAGUUGGUGGGGUAAAGGCUUACCAAGGCAAUGAUGCGUAGCCGAACUGAGAGGUUGAUCGGCCACAUUGGGACUGAGACACGGCCCAAACUCCUACGGAAGGCAGCAG